GACGUAGGGUCCGAGCGUUGUCCGGAGUUACUGGGCGUAAAGCGCGCGCAGGCGGUUUCGUACGUCGGGUGUGAAAGCCCCCCGCUCAACGGGGGAGGGUCAUUCGAAACGGCGGAACUGGAGGCAGGGAGAGGUCGGUGGAAUUCCCGGUGUAGUGGUGAAAUGCGUAGAUAUCGGGAGGAACACCAGUGGCGAAGGCGGCCGACUGGACCUGUACUGACGCUGAGGCG
rnacentral:rRNA from 1 species